CCGACGGUGAGGGAUGAAAGCUGGGGGAGCAAACCGGAUUAGAUACCCGGGUAGUCCCAGCUGUAAACUAUGCAAACUCAGUGAUGCAUUGGCUUGUGGCCAAUGCAGUGCUGCAGGGAAGCCGUUAAGUUUGCCGCCUGGGAAGUACGUACGCAAGUAUGAAACUUAAAGGAAUUGGCGGGGGAGCACCACAAGGGGUGAAGCCUGCGGUUCAAUUGGAGUCAACGCCAGAAAUCUUACCCGGAGAGACAGCAGAAUGAAGGUCAAGCUGAAGACUUUACCAGACAAGCUGAGAGGUGGUGCAUGGCCGUCGCCAGCUCGUGCCGUGAGAUGUCCUGUUAAGUCAGGUAACGAGCGAGAUCCCUGCCUCUAGUUGCCACCAUUACUCUCAGGAGUAGUGGGGCGAAUUAGCGGGACCGCCGCAGUUAAUGCGGAGGAAGGAAGGGGCCACGGCAGGUCAGUAUGCCCCGAAACUCUGGGGCCACACGCGGGCUGCAAUGGUAACGACAAUUGGUUUCGAAUCCGAAAGGAUGAGGUAAUCCUCAAACGUUACCACAGUUAUGACUGAGGGCUGCAACUCGCCCUCACGAAUAUGGAAUCCCUAGUAACUGCGUGUCAUUAUCGCGCAGUGAAUACGUCCCUGCUCCUUGCACACACCGCCCGU
rnacentral:rRNA from 1 species